UUUUCUCCUGCGCACCCUUUCAAUUUGUUAGAGUUUUCUGUUGUGCUGGUUUUACCAUGAUGGCCUGCCUACUUGUGAUUUGGGUAGACCAGGCCACUAUUGACAAUUUUCUUCACCACAUCCAUAACAGCAACACAGUUGUAGCACCAGGCCAGGGUUCAGCAUCAUUAUUACCACAAGGUCUAAGUUUUGACUUAAAGUAGAACACAGAUGCUGUCCAUCUAAAAUCCCUCUUUUUAUGUGUUUGUUAAUGUGGGGCUUCUUAUAAUUAGUUAAGUAGCAUUUAAGGCGAUUUCUCCCAUACCCAGAAUGUCUUCCCCUUGGAUAGUAAAUAGUAAUAGGAUACUUUAAUUUAGCAAUCCGCUGCAAAACCCAAUGUCAAAAUUAAGUAAAUACUUUGACGUUCAUUUCUGAAUUUAACUCUUCUUUUCUGUUUUAUUAAUCUAGCAAAGCCUGCUGACAAUGGAGCAGAUAGUUUCAGUGGAAGAGACUCAGAUUAAAGAUAAAAAAUGUAUCCUGCUGCGGUUUAAGGGAGGAAAGCAAUUUGUAUUGCAGUGUGAGAGUGAUCCAGAGUUUAUCCAAUGGAAGAAAGAAUUAACGGAAGCUUUCAAUGAAGCUCAGAGGGUGCUGCGGAGAGCCCCUAAGGUGCUGAACAAGUCACGUUCAGCAGUGGUAGAGCUGACCAAACCCCCUCUCAGCCACAGGAACAGCAACGGGCUUUAGUAGAGAGCACUUGUGUGUGAGUGGGGGAAGAGAAACAAGAGACCAGAGGAUGGUUUUGUGCAACUACUUCUAUAUCACCUCGUACGUGGUUCAGCGUGUUGUUAUUAGUUAAUUAUAUGAUCCCACAAAACAGGGUAUAUAUAUAUGUAUAGAUAUGUAUAUCUAUAUCUAUAUAUAUGCAUACGUGUAUGUAUAUAUGAAUGUAAGACUUUCAGAGCAGUUUGGCUGUUUAUUUUCUAUUGGAAGUAUUGAUGAACGAGUGUAGCACCUGUUAAAUGCAACCACAGUGAUCGCCGUGGUUAAUGAGCCAACUCCACAGGAAAGGACUGGAGGAUGUUGCCAAAUAAUUUUGGAGAAUUUAUUUUGUCAUGCGUCAUUGCGCCCUGGUGGUGUUCUUUGCUUCAUAUCGGAGGGUCGAAGGAACUUUCACGUACAAAGCAAGUGGCUGACUGGACCCGUGUUUCAGUCACUGAUUCACUCAACAUUAUUUUGCUCCUGGACUCCAACAUAUCCCAAAAGACAUGGACACAUAUCGGUGGCUCAUCCGUCGACAUGGUUUUCCUGCUAUCAAAAUGUCAAUUGGUGAUAUCUUCUGUCACCGUUGCACUAUGUGCCAAUCAUCAUCUGUCCUGGGUUUAUCUCAGUGUUUCAGACUCAGUGUCUUGCCACAUAUCUCUACCAGCUACUUCUUUUCAUAUGUACCCAAUAUUGGGUGAUUGUAGACAUGUUGGAAGAUGGAUUGUUUUAUCUCCAUGGUAACCAGGUGCCAAUUCAUUUCUUGGUUUCUGGAGCAGUUACAUUUGAUCCUUGUUACACAGACUGUGAAAAACAAUGGUGCGUUGGUGCUUAAUUCCCUCCACCCUGUCUCAUAUCCCUGCUGAUUGCAAUGUUUCUAUGAAAGACGAGAAAAUGAUUGCGACCAUACUGGAUUACCAGGUUUCCAAUGUGUUAAUAUCGCUAUCUCUCAGCAGUUGUUAAGUUUUCAUGGCUACUUGGAUGUUGCUUUGUGGCCUGUUUUAUUGAUAGGAUUUCACUGGUUGCUAGAUAUCAAUACUGUCACAUUUCAUUGUCAAGUUUCCAUGGAUAACGAAUUACAGUAUAUGGCUCAGUGUGUUUUGCGAAGUGUCUAUGGUUACAAGAUAUAUAACUAUAGUUACUGAUUCAUGACUCAUUGUGCUUCUGUGAUGUCAGGUUCCAGCCAUAGACUAUUCUGCUAUUGUUGGCAAUUUUCUGUUACUAUACUUAAUUGGAUGCUGAUGAACAGAUCUAGUUUGUUCCUGGUUUCCCUGAACUUCGAUAUUGGUCCAGAAUUACUGGACUCCAUCCGUCAUUAAUUACUUGUGAUAGUCUGAAGGAUUUUGAAACCAUUGCGUUGAUGGGACAUUGCCCCAACCUCCAACCUGAAUCCUUUACUUCAGUGCAAUAAAAAUAUUUAGGAAUUCCUGAAUUCUACAGUACUUCUGAUCCACAUAGCACAUGAUUUGUUUUGUAAAGUCUUUGCCCCAUUCCCACCAUGAAGUGCAAAGUGCCAAUGGACUUUACAAAUUAAGGAAAAUUUAAAAGUGAUUUAAGAGAAAGUAAAAUAUUUAUCAUAGGUAUUUCUGUGCAAGUGUACAUAAUGUUAAAAAACUAAUAUACCAAGAAUUUGUGAUAACAAUGAGAAAAUCAGAAAAUGGUGAUUACAUAGCAUGAGUUGCUUUAUCAACAUGUCUUCGAUGAACAGUGACAAUGUAUUAUUGCAUCUUAAUAAUUGAUCAGUUGCAACAAGGGUCAGCUAUUAAUCCGAAUUUAGGGAGCAACAUCAACGCUGAAUUUUUAUUAUUUUAUGUUGUAUUUUGAUUUAGUUACAGUACCACUAAAAUGUUUAAACCUCAUAUUUUGGCUGUAAAAAAUACAAAAGUGAUGAGUAUAGUAUUUUCUGGUUAUAUUUUUGUUUAGGACUACUACAUUUAAUGUGUACUGAAAAAUAAUAAUAACAAGGACGGAUUUGGCUCAAAAUGUACCACAGCUAUUGCCAUAGCCUAUUGCUGUAAUAGAAGGAGAAACAAAAUCGUUUGAAAGUGUCAGGACUGAGGUCAUAACAAUGAGUUCAGUUCCAUUUGGAAUUACGUCAUUGGCUUCUCUUGGAUUUGUCAGAAGGGCUGUGUUAUAUUUGGAUGCAUUGUUGAACCUAAAUAUGGUUUAGGUUGCCUGAUAUGAGUUAAGCUAAUUGUUCGAUUGAUUCUGAGACCGAUAACAUGAAAGGAAGUUCUGGAAAUAUUUUCCGCCCUUCAGAAACGUAAUGCCCCAUUUAAUGGGUUGUUUCUCUUCCUACUAUCCUGUUUCCUCUUUUCUACACCCUGCUAUAUCCCUUGAAAGGAAAUUUAAACAUGCUUGCUCCAUUUCACAGUGCCUCUGGAAAUGUUCGUACCCAAUUAUUCAGACAGGUAAUUAAUUAAUUUUCUCAGUAUGAAAAUACCUUAAGACUUUUUAUGUAAUAUCAUGUUUGAACCUCAUAAAGAAGAUAUUGGUGCAAAUAAUUUGUUUCUUAAAGAGAGAUACACACUGGGUCUCCUUACGAGAAAGUACAGUACUAUAUGUAAAUACAAAAUUAUGUUCGCUGAUUCAAGCAAUUAUUGUUCCCGCAUUUUAUUUUGUUGCAGAAGCUAUAAAUAAUAAUGCACUUAGUUUUAUUUUAGCUUCAAAAAUUAUUUAUGUAUUCUGGAUAUUGACCGUUAUCAGAGGAUGUGGGAUUGAUGCAGGAAAGUGAUGUUGAAUUAAAGAAAGAUCAAACAUGUGGAGUGUGUGAAAAUGUCCAAUCUUCCCUGUCUAUCCACCUUCCUCUGGGCGCUACCCAAGGAAUGCGUAGCAAACGUCAAAAAUAUAUCCCACUGCUUUUCACAUUGCACAGCAUGGGUCCUCGAGCGCAUAAACCGAGCUCACUAAAUUAGUUAGCAAUGUAUAGCAACCAUCUAUAAUCUUUGAUGCAGAGAGCUGAUUGUGACUCGUUAACAUCAUGACUCCUGGUUGAUUCAAUGAUACCUCAUUGAAAUUUAUUUGAAAGGAAACCCUUCUCUGCAUUGCCUCCAGUGCAAAUGCAUUCCUGCAUCAAUAUAGAGAUCAUGCUGUACACAGUGCCACUGGUGUGGUCUCACAAGUGCCCUAUAAAAUAGUAUCUAUACUUCCUUACUUUUGUACCCAUAUGAUGUGCAGUAAGCAAUUGAAAUUCUAUUAAUUCUAUUUAUGUCCUGUAUCCACACACUUUUUGUUUCUGUCACAUAACCAUUGUACUGUGACAUUUUGUAGUCGCCAUUUUAAAAAAAGGUAUUGAUUUUUAAUUUUUUCCUUCCAAAGUGGGUAACUUAACAUUUUCCCACUUAAAACUCCAUCUGCUGAAUUGUUGCCUCAUCACAACCUAUCGAGAUCCCUACGUGGGAUCUUCACAAUGUGGAUUAACUCAUCAAUCUUUGUAUCAUCGCCAAAUUUAGCUGAUUUCUGUUCAGAUUUGUAGUUUUUUUGUGUUAUCACAAUCAGUCAUAGAGUCAUACAGCACGGGAAAGUCCAUUCAGCACAACUCAUCCAUGCCGACCAAGUGCACAUCUAUGCUGGUCAUAUUUGGCCAUCUUUGGCCCAUAUUUCUCUAACCCUUUCCUAUUCAAAUAUCUUUUUUUGAUCCAAAUAUCUUUAAAAUGUUGUAUUGGACCUGGCUCAACCAUUUUCUUGGUAUUUUGUUCUAUUUGUGUACCACACUGUGUAAAGUUGCCCUUCACGUCCCUUUUAAAUCUUACCACUCUUAACUUAAAUCUACGUUCUCUAGUUUUUGAUUCUCCCCUCCUUCGGAAAAUAACUUUGUGCAUUCACCUUAACUAUGCCCUUCAUGAUUUUGUACGCCUCUAUAAGGUUACCCUUGGUCUCCUAUGCUCCAAGGAAUAAAGACAUAGCCUGCUCAAUCUCUCCCUGUCACUCAGGCAGGGUAACUAAAACUGAACACAACACUGAACAAGUGUGGCCUUACCAAUGUUGUCCAACAUAACAUCCCAACUCCCAUACUCAAUCCCUUAGAUAAUGAAGGCCAGCAUACCAAACGUCCUCUUCACAAUGAUGCCUACUUGUCACACCACUUUCAGAGAAUUGUAUUUGCACUCCUGGAUUCCUCCGCUCUAUGAUACAGCCUUCCCAUUCACUAUGAAAGUUCUACCCUGAUUAGUCUUCCCAAAAUGCGACACCGCGUAUUUAUAUGAAUUGAACGGGUUUUGCCAUUCCUCAACCACUUGCCCGGUAAAUCUAGAUCCCCCUGUAAAUUUUGAGCACUAUCUACGAUACCACGUAUUUUAUUGUCAUCUGCAAACUUGCUAAUCAUGCCUUGUGUGCUCUUAUCCAAAUUAUUUAUACAAAAUGAUGAACAACAGUGGACCCAGCACAGGUAGCUUAGGUGAAGUGUAGAGAUGCAACUGUUGGAGUACUGCAUCUUAUGAUGAAGGAUAUUGCUGCAGAAUCCUCCAAUUUCUCAGGCAAUUAAUUUUUGAGUCGCAUUUGUUCCAAGAGAUGUACUGUAAUCAUUUAUGAUGAAGGAGACCACCAUAUCUCCUUCACAUUCUAACUUCAAUUCAAUUCUAACUUUGAGCCAGCAAAGGAGCAGGAUGAGAUGCUCGUCUGCCUUAGAAACCCCAAAGUAGGAGAUUCCCCCCCAUUGAGUACCAAAGAAUCUAUACCCUCCAUUUUCUAGAAAGAAAGCCACAUUAUCUUCACAAUCAAUUGUUUUAUCAUACGCACUCUCCUCUGGUGAUCUAUUUGGUAGUGUAUGGCAAGUUACUGAAGUCAUGAAGCUCAGAGUACCAGCAGCCUAGACCAUGCUGUGCUUGCAGUCACUCUACUGCUGGGAAAGCCAUAAGUUUAAAUAAGUUUAAAACCAUGGCUUAGGGUGAAGAAUAACAAAUAAAGAGAAAAUUGCAAAUGCUGGAAAUUCGAAGCAGAAACAGAAAAUGCUGAACAGAAUUACUGUACUGUACCCCUCAGAAAGGGGCUCUGUUGGGCUCAGGGAUGUGCACACUCUAUUGUUUAUCAUGGAAACUUUUAAUUCGAAUGCAGAUACAUUUCCACAGUACUGUACAGUUUAGCCAGUGCAUGCAAAGGGAGUUAGUUAUAUUGUUACCAUCUAUAGAUAUAUCUUUACCAUCAAUCCCAGGAUGGUAUUAAUGCUAGAGAAAACUGGAUGGAAUAUGUAGUGAAUGAUAGCUAAUGUUUGGAUUGCACCAAUUAUAAAUGUAUUAAGACAAUUAUGUCAGGUAAAUUUUUUAUUGAUUUAUGAUUAGUCUUGAGGUUCUGACAUGCUAAUAAUCCCACCAGCCACCAUGCAGAUCGUUCCAAUUUCUCUACAUCCUGAGGAUGACACUCAGUUUCGAACAAUCAUUCAAGUUUCAAACCUACUCACACUUAUUUCCAUUCAGUGAUAAAGUAUGUAUGAUUCUGAAUAAAUUAAGAGUUUGUGAUAAUUGAAUCUAAAUACUUCAUGUACAUCAAAGUUUAGCUGUUCCAUGUGUUCAUUUCAUUUGGUUGUUCUUGCAUCCUCACAGUGAUGUAUACCCUCAACUAGUGACAUUCCUAUUGCUGAUGAGGUAAAUCCAGUGGAAUUAUUUCAUAAACAUGCAAGGCACUGUGGGAUUUCGUUGGAGGAAAAAAAUAAGCUAAUUUAACUAAAUGAUCCCUCCUGCAACGUGUACAAACUCUGUACCAAGUUUUGUUCUUUAAAAAUGCUAAAAGCUAGUCUGGAAUAAUUCUCAUUCAUUGGCACAACACAUGUAAACUAACUCCAAACAAGUGAGCCAUGUGAUUUACACCUCUGAAUAAGUGUGAUCCCAUCUCUAUGAAAUACUCCUAACACUCCCUGCUUCUGCCGUGCACAACCAUCUCUUCACCCUGGAGGCAGACAGUACGCCGGUGUCACUAAUGGGGUGAUAAUGCUGAGAAGUUAAACUAAGCACCAAAUCCAGGGGUGAGGGCAGAUUCUUUAGUGAAAAUUACAUUUUCAUUGUGUUCUUUGUGAAGUUCAAAUUGUCGGGCAGUAGCAAUGAAUCAAUGCUUUAUGGCUUCAGCUUGUGGUAAAUUUUGUGCCUUUGGAGUCUUUGCACAAUGAAUAAAUUGAUUCAUUCAAAAUUUUGUAAUUAUCAUUAGUUCUGCAAGAUUUAUUUUAACUUUAAAAUCGUAUUUUUGCACCAGUUUUCAGGGAAGUGAAAGAAGCUGCUUUGCAUUAAUGAUGCUGUCUAAAUCGGGUUAAUUCCUGUACCUUUUACUGCUGAAGAAAUGCUUUAAGGAUGUACUAGGAGUUGCAGCAUUUCUAGUGGUGGCCCACGUGGUUUAAAAGUCAGGUGUUUCAUCCCUAUUGCUGAACCCAAGGUUCAAACAUGAAGCUCCAUGAAGCAAGGAUGAAGCUGGGGGUGGUGGUUGGGAAGAGGGACUAUUUCAGGCAGGGACGAUAAUCAGCCAUCAUGCUUGACCUGGUUUCAUCAUGAAUCUUAUAUUAUUUAAGAAAUGUGUUUUGCAUAAUUUACGAGCAUGCCGAAGCUCGAUCCUGGCGAUCUGGCUCUGCUCCUCUUUAUGCCCAUGACAAUCAUCAACCUGCAGCACACUGGAGUCCCUCAGAAAGGGGCUCCGUUGGGCUCAGGGAUGUGCACACUCUAUUGUUUAUCAUGGAAACUUUUAAUUCGAAUGCAGAUACAUUUCCACAUAAAAAGUGGCUGGUUGUAAUCAAGAUUGUUUAAUUUAAGACAAAUGAGAGGAAGAUAACUUGAUAAUGUUUUACUUGGGGCAUAAUUAAAAGUAAGUAAGUAAAAGCUGAUGAAGCUUGCACAGUCUCAAGAUUGUUCAUCACCUAACCCUUUACUGGUUUUUUUAGUUGGGUCAAUUGUAUUGAAAAAAGGUGCAGAGCACCAGGGCUGGAGUGAUCCAGGGAUAGGCUUGUCUCCAGGUGUGUUCAGUUGGACACGUGCGUCACAGUGUACGCUGGUACAAGCCCACAUUAGCCCCCACGAAGAUAUGCUGCAUCUUCAACUUCUAUACUGUGCUUGAAUUUACAAAAAAAAAGGAAAAAAAAGUUUUUUAAGCUUUUGUCUAUUGACUGAAUCUUGUUGUUAUUAUAUCAGAUGAUGUAUAUAGUCUGGGGGAAAAAAAGAAGCAUCUUAUUUGCAGAAUGUCUGACCUCCUCCCUCCCUUUCUUCCCCAUUCAUUGACCCUCUGAUCUUCAAUCUGCAUUUUUUCAAACAGUGUCUACCCUGUUGUGUAAUGGAUUCAGCUGUAAUUUUUUUGGUGGCAUGAACGUGGAUGAACUAUCUUCAGUGUAAAAUUCAGAAUCGGUGGGGGAGAAGGGAUAAGAAAGACAUGUUAUGUUAUUUAUUUGUGAAACUGUCUGUUUGACAUCAUUGUGACAUUCUGACAUUCCAAACUGAACUCUUGUCUGAAUUAUUACGGUGCAUGUGGUCGUAUUUUAUUGCUUAUAUGAUUCUUUGAAUCUCCUUCUUGUGUUUUAUUAUGAAUUGAAGUGUGAAGAUUCAAACAUUCUCUCCUCUGGUGGAUCACUUAGUAAUGCCAGCAUGUAACUGAGUCAUCCCGAGGAACAGGAGAAGACAUUUAAGGCCCUCAACGUUAUGUGUUCUGUCAUUCAGUGAGACCUGAAUUAAUCCAACAAUUUUGGGUCUGAAUGCCAUUAGCCAGCAAAAUGUAACAUUGUUUAACAUCUGAUGCUCUCUUUAAGGGUUCUACACUACCAUCACCCUUUCCAUUAAGUGGCAUUCCCUGUCUUCUUCUGAAUGGAAAAUAAUGUUCAAUUUCCUGCCUCGGGGAAAAUGAUUUGAUCAAAGCCAUUUUGGCAGCUGAGUCUUUGAGUGGCUUGUGAAAAAAAAUUAAACAUUAACCCAUUUAAGUGCUUUCCAAUGAAUGCCCUCUGAAAAGUAGAUAUGUGGGUAUUAUAAUGGAUUGGUUCUGAGUGUGUUUCCUCCUGUUCCGGAUAUAAGAGUGGCCACUUAUCUAACAUAGUUGUGGGUUAUUAACCGCUAAUAGAAGUGUACCCCAGGAUUUUUUUCAAGGGGAGAGGAGAGAAAAGUGGAAGAAAGGAUUUUGUAUACUUCCGAUGUGAAACGUGGCAUUUAUCAUAACGAUGCCUGAAUCUUCCUAUCUGUCUAGACCAGGUUGGUUUUAUAAAGGUAGUACUGACGAGAUAUUAAUUUAUAAAGCACCUUAUCACAUCAAAAUAUCUCAAAGCACUUUACCAAAUUGAUUACUGUUGGAGCAUAAUGACUCAUUGGAAUACCAUUGUGGUUUUGUGUACUGAGAAGAAUAUUCAGUUUGCAUAAGCAAGGGUGAAAAAACAAUAUUAAAGUGUUAGUCUGCCUGCAAUUCUUCAAUUUGGUCCAUGCCUCUCUUAUGCCACUUACUAAUUUAGGCAGCAACAAUCCUGCCUAAAAUGAUAACCAGGUCUCAUUUGAACAAAGGUAAGCUUGUCUAAUUGGUAUAGUGAACAUUGCUCUCCCUCAGUUAAAUGCAAGUGUUAUUACAUGUGAACUCCUGCCACAAACUAAGUGCUGGAAACUGUGCUAAAACCGUUAGCCCACUUGUUGGUUGAAACUCAUUCAAGAUUUUUGGUUUGAGAAUUUACACACUGCACCAUUCAUCACACAACUUGUUUGUUUCAUUUUUCAACAGAAUAGCCUGGACAUCCGUUCUCACUGACCAUAUUAGCACAAAUGCCACAUCUUAGUUUCCAUUUUGCUGCAUACUUCAAUGAAUCAUUUCAUAUUUUUUACCACUAAUGUAAUAGUUCUUGCAAAGAGAGGGGAGAUGCUUAUUGUUAGCAGGAUUUUUAUUUCCAAUUAAAAAUAAGUACACAA